ACGGAAGGCAGCAGUGGGGAAUAUUGCACAAUGGGGGAAACCCUGAUGCAGCAACGCCGCGUGAGUGAAGAAGUAUUUCGGUAUGUAAAGCUCUAUCAGCAGGGAAGAAAAUGACGGUACCUGACUAAGAAGCCCCGGCUAACUACGUGCCAGCAGCCGCGGUAAUACGUAGGGGGCAAGCGUUAUCCGGAUUUACUGGGUGUAAAGGGAGCGUAGACGGCGAAGCAAGUCUGAAGUGAAAGCCACGGCUCAACCGUGGAACUGCUUUGGAAACUGUUUUGCUAGAGUGCAGGAGGGGCAGGCGGAAUUCCUAGUGUAGCGGUGAAAUGCGUAGAUAUUAGGAGGAACACCGGUGGCGAAGGCGGCCUGCUGGACUGUAACUGACGUUGAGGCUCGAAAGCGUGGGGAGCAAACAGGAUUAGAUACCCUGGUA
rnacentral:rRNA from 1 species